UUGAAAGCCUCUCGGGGCAUUGUAUUCUGAAGUCAGUUUCCUGAGUGUCGAUACUUAAGUCUUCUGGAAAGGAGCGCCAUGGAGGGUGAUAGCCCCGUACUGUAUCUAACUCAUUGUAGGAGUCUGACGUGGAGUCGAGUUGUUUGGGAAUGCAGCUCAAAAGGGUGGUAUGCUCCAUCUAAAGCUAAAUAUCUGUGAGAGACCGAUAGCGAACAAGUACUGUGAAGGAAAGAUGAAAAGAACUUUGAAAAGAGAGUGAAAUAGUACGUGAAAUUGUUGAAAUGGAAGGGUAGGCCGCUAACAAUGUAGAACCGUAUUCGGGGGGAAGAUAAAAUCUGUUGAAUGUGGCUCUUCGGAGUGUUAUAGCUUCAGACAAUAUUCCCACCUGGGUGCGAGGAUCUCAGGUUCUACUAAAUGGUGGUCUACC
rnacentral:rRNA from 1 species